GCCACGCCCGCUCAGAAACUCAAAGGAAUUGACGGGACCCCGCACAAGCGGUGGAUCAUGUUGUUAAUUCGAUGAUACGCGAAGAACCUUACCAGGUCUUGACAUCCCCCGCGAUGCUUUAGAGAUAAAGCGGAGGUAUUCGGGGAGACAGGUGGUGCAUGGUUGUCGUCAGCUCGUGUCGUGAGAUGUUGGGUUAAGUCCCGCAACGAGCGCAACCCCUAUUGCUAGUUACCAUCAUUAAGUUGGGGACUCUAGCGAGACUGCCAGUGAUAAACUGGAGGAAGGUGGGGAUGACGUCAAAUCAUCAUGCCCCUUACGUCCAGGGCUACACACGUGCUACAAUGGCCGGCACAACGGGAAGCGAGUUCGCGAGGACAAGCGGAUCCCUUAAAGCCGGUCUCAGUUCGGAUUGAAGUCUGCAACUCGACUUCAUGAAGCUGGAAUCGCUAGUAAUCGCAGAUCAGCCAAGCUGCGGUGAAUACGUUCCCGGGCCUU
rnacentral:rRNA from 1 species